rfam:Ipomoea nil DNA, scaffold: scaffold3056, cultivar: Tokyo-kokei standard.
GUCGUUGUAGUAUAGUGCUGAGUAUCCUUGCAUGUCACCCGGGAGACCCGGGUUCGAUCCCCGGCAAUGGCG